rnacentral:rRNA from 1 species
AUACGGAGGAUCCGAGCGUUACCCGGAUUUAUUGGGUUUAAAGGGUGCGCAGGCGGGAGAUUAAGUCGGCGGUGAAAUUUUGCAGCUCAACUGUAAAAGUGCCUUCGAUACUGGUUUCCUUGAGUGUGGAUGAAGUAGGCGGAAUUUGUGGUGUAGCGGGGAAAUGCUUAGAUAUCACGAGGAACUCCGAUUGCGCAGGCAGCUUACUAAACCACUACUGACGCUCAGGCACGAAGGCGUGGGGAUCAAACAGGAUUAGAUACCCUGGUAGUCCACGCAGUAAACGAUGAUUACUGGCUGUUUGCGAUACAAUGUAAGCGGCUGAGCGAAAGCGUUAAGUAAUCCACCUGGGGAGUACGUUCGCAAGAAUGAAACUCAAAUGAAUUGGCGGGG